CGCCAUUGUUGUGUUGACGUGUCCGCUAGUUGGUCGGUUAGUUUAGGUUAGGUUUUCAAAUCCGUCGGCGAGCAGUCUCGUAUACGAUGUGGUAUUUAUCCCUUUAUUCCUAACAUUAACAAUAAGAGCACCUGUAAACAAAAGAUUUUUCCUUGAUAAGGACAUGGUCUUCCACUUUGUUAAAGUAUUCCCCGUUAACAAGCGUCAUAAACUAACAGCUAGUAGAGCUAGUUUAGCUACUUGAAAAUAAUUUAACAUUAAGAUGUUCUGGAACAUUAACCAGAUUUGUUCGUGAAUUGUACUAAAAUAUAUUAUGGGAAUCGUACUCGUCUGAUGAACGCAGGUAUUGGUAAGUUUUAAUUAAUUGUUAAAGUCCGUCAGUGAUGACACAGUACGCUGGUUAGAGCUUCCAAACUCCUCUAAAUAUUUUACUAGUCUUGAUGUUCUUUUAAAGGCUUGAUCUAUACAUAGAAUUAAAGUUUGUAAAAUUUUGGGAAAAUAAACGGUUGACGAAUGUGUUGGUAGAGAUUGAACCUAAGCUUUAAUGUUUAAUACGCAUAGUUAUUGAAAACAGCACUGGGCCGAGGGUUGAACUGUCUAGUUUUAGAGCUGAACUUUUAUCAUUAAAGCUUAUUCAGGCUUACAUAAGUAUAUAAAUGUGCCUAUCUGUAUAACGAUGAAUAUAAUGUAUUAAUGAAUAGCUCAUACAAUUGUAUUUAGGAACGGUUAUGCACUAGUAACACUUAACAAGAGCAGAUGAGUAAUUUAUUAUUCGUAUGUAUCCCCCCAUGACGUUCUCGGUGGCGACGCUGGAGGUGGCGACGCUGGAGGUGGCGACGCCUGGGUACGUUGGCUUGAGGUUCUCUCCCAGCGGUUCCAACCACUUGGGCAGGACGGUAGAGCGACGGUCUCCCUUCAUGCAGGUCGGCGUUCAAUCCCCGACCGUCCAAGUGCACCAUUCCUUCCCCCCCCCCCCCCGGUCCCAUCCCAAAUCCUUAUCCUGACCCCUUCCCAGUGCUAUAUAGUCGUAAUGGCUUGGCGCUUCUCUUCAUAGUUUCCUUCCCUUCACCCCCAGCGGAGGCAUGCAGGGAGCAGACAUCAUCCUGGGCUGGAUCUGUGACAAAGGCCAUGUUGUCUUCCUCUACAUUGUAGGAUGAUACGAACAUAGGCCAAAGCAUCAAGUGUACCACUGGGCUGAAUGUUCGGGUGAACAUGGUUAAUGGCCCUAAUCAUGAAAGGAUUGCAAAACAUUGUUGUAAACUGAUGUUCCUAGAUGCAAUCACUGAAGAUCCCAGAGACCACGACAACUCCAAAGGACCAUCACCUGUAAAAGAAAAAUAAACAUUAAACAGGGA